rnacentral:rRNA from 1 species
GACGGAGGAUGCAAGUGUUAUCCGGAAUCACUGGGCGUAAAGCGUCUGUAGGUGGUUUAGUAAGUCUAUUGUUAAAUCUUGAGGCUCAACUUCAAAUCAGCGAUGGAAACUGCUAGACUAGAGUGUGGUAGAGGUAAGAGGAAUUUCCAGUGGAGCGGUGAAAUGCGUAGAUAUUGGAAAGAACACCGAUGGCGAAGGCAUCUUACUGGGCCAUAACUGACACUCAGAGACGAAAGCUAGGGUAGCAAAUGGGAUUAGAUACCCCAGUAGUCCUAGCAGUAAACGAUGGAUACUAGAUGUUGCCCGUUCACCGCAGUGUCAAAGCUAACGCGUUAAGUAUCCCGCCUGGGAAGUAUGCACGCAAGUGUG